AUUGUUCUGUUGAAUUUUACUCUGGCAAGGUAAAUUGACAGCCUAUCUUCACAGAUGCAGGACAAAGGACAGAACUCUAAGUCAUCCCUGUGCUCACCUGAGACAAAUGCAUGUCUGAUUGCUUCCACUGAUGUAAAAAUGCAGAUUUGCUGAGUUAGACGAAGACGAUGGCAGAGAGCAGUCUUCAUCCUGAGCCCCAUUCCUAGGUAAGUAGCUGAAUUGGGGUUUUGUUUUGGAAAUUCUCCUUAAUGGCUAAAGUUAAGAUUAACAACCAGCUGGUCUUAAUUUCUUCUUACCAUUAGAGCACUCAGUAAUCUAAUAUAAAUUAUAAAUCUAAUAUAUUAGAUUUAUUUUGGGUUUGAC
rnacentral:lncRNA from 10 species